rnacentral:rRNA from 1 species
UACGGAGGGUGCGAGCGUUAAUCGGAAUCACUGGGCGUAAAGCGCGCGUAGGCGGCUUUUCAAGUCAGGGGUGAAAUCCCACGGCCCAACCGUGGAACUGCCUUUGAAACUGUAGAGCUUGAGUGUCGGAGAGGGUGGCGGAAUUCCAGGUGUAGGAGUGAAAUCCGUAGAUAUCUGGAGGAACACCGGUGGCGAAGGCGGCCACCUGGACGACAACUAACGCUGAGGUGCGAAAGCGUGGGUAGCAAACAGG